UACGGAGGAUGCGAGCGUUAUCCGGAUUCAUUGGGUUUAAAGGGUGCGUAGGCGGGCUUUUAAGUCAGCGGUAAAAAUUCGGGGCUCAACCCCGUCCGGCCGUUGAAACUGGGGGUCUUGAGUGGGCGAGAAGAAGGCGGAAUGCGUGGUGUAGCGGUGAAAUGCAUAGAUAUCACGCAGAACCCCGAUUGCGAAGGCAGCCUUCCGGCGCCCUACUGACGCUGAUGCACGAAAGCGUGGGUAUCAAACAGG
rnacentral:rRNA from 1 species